UCUCUGAAAUAACUAUGUGUUUGUAACUUUUUAUAUACAUGAGGAUAUACAUAUACUUAUACAUCUAUACAUAUAUAUGUAACAUAAAGGAUAUUAACAUUAGGACUGUUUAAUGUCUAUUUGUCUUGGAAAGAAAAAAUGGUCUCAGCUUUUAAGGGCUCAUAGUGAUUAGAUUGGACUCAUAUACGGUCCUCAUUUUAAUAUUCAUAAUUCUAACUGCAAAGUCUCUUUUGUCAGGUAAUACAGCAUAUUCAGGUCUCAAGGAUUAAAGUGUGAGCAUCUUUGGGGGUUUUUAUUCUAGGGAGCUAGAGGUGAGUGGAGGGUGUGCAGUUUCCUCCUGUCCUCCGGAGAAUGUUUCUUUCCUUCUCUUUCAGCACUUGCUUGGCUUUUCUCCCAAAGGUUCAAAUCCAGACAUUGAUCAUACAGAAAGAGGAACUAAAUACGGACCUGUACCACAUGGAACGUUCUCUCAGAUACUUUGAAGGUGGGAAUCUGGGCACCCUGUCAUCCUUCAACCUGGCACUUUGACAGGUCUUCAGGGGGAGUCCUUUGGGCCCCAUCUCAACUCUCUCAUUACAGAAGAGUCCAAGGACCUGGCUGUCCGUCUGCAACAUUCAUUGCAGUGUAAAGGAGAGUUAGAGAGCGCUCUGUCUGCUGUCAUCGCCACAGAGAAGAAGAAGGCAAACCAGGUGAGUCCAGCCACCUGCCCCAUCCCCUGGGAGCCUGGUUUUGCAGAUGGAGGAGUGAGCCUAAAGGUCCCUUCUGCAGGAUGGCGUGUCCUGCCCAGAAGGCAGCAUGGCCAUUUCUUGCUACUUUUUUGUAUGGUUUUUAGUGGCAGCCUGGGGCCGAGUCAGCUGCUGUGGGUGAGUUGGGGGGUACUGUGGGGAGUGAGCACUGGACGCAGAGCUUGGAGGCCAAGUGCCUGCCCCGCCCUUACCUGGCUGUGGUCUUGGGCAAGUCCUAGUCCUAGGUGGGGUAUUGGGUACUUGUACUGUGAAGGUACAGAAGAGUACCUUUAGUAUGUUACCAUUUCUGUAGAAAGAGGAAACGUGUGUGCGUUGUGUGUGUGUGUGUGUGCAUACUGUGAUAAUAUACAUAAAACAUGUCUGCAAGGGUUCAUAAAAAAUUCAGGAGAGAGCAACAAGAUGGCCGGGAGAUACUUCCCUUCUGUACCUUCUGAGUUUUGGACUAUGCAAAUGUUAUCAUCCUUUCAAAAAGUGAACAAAAGAUUAAUUUUCCCCUUCCUAUCUGUGCCCCCAUCCCCAGCAAGAAAAACGGGCUUAGAGAAUUGGAUAGACCUGGGUGUUUAUAUCCCAGCUCUGCCUAAGUGAACUUAGGCAAGCACUUAACCUCAAAUACUCCAUGUUUUUUCAUCUCCACAAUAGAGGGAAUCAUAGUAACUGUCUCCUAUGGUGGUUGCGAGGAUUAAAUGGGAUUGUUAGCACGGUACCUGGUGAAGCAUUCCACAAAGGUUCAAACAGUGGUAAUAAUGACAAUAAUAACAACAGCAAUAUUAUCUGAUCUCUCUGGGCCUCUGUUAGCCAGCUAUAAACUCAGUCUCAUUCCCUGUCCGUUCCAACUUUACUGUGUUCUUUUAAAAACCAGACCACGGGCUUGGAAAUGCCUUGAUCUUUACUGACCGAGUUGUAUAUUGGGCCUAGCCCUAGCCCUGUUAAGGGGCACUGUGUGGAAAUGCCCAGGCUCUCCAGAUUGAAACUUCUCACUCUUCACCAUCCAGUUGUCCAGCUGCAGCAAAGCACAUACAGAGUGGGAGUUAGAGCAGUCCCUACAGGACCAGGCACUGCUGAAAGCGCAGCUGACACAGGUGAGGUUUUCCGAGGGAGGGAUGUGGAAGGACGAUGACCCCAGGUGGCCAGGAGCAGGUGAGGACCAGUGACAGCCCUUCCUAACUUCUGUGCCCAUUCUUGCAGUUGAAGGAGUCAUUUCAACAACUCCAAUUAGAAAGAGAUGAGUGUGCUGAACAUAUAGAAGGAGAGAGGGCCCGGUGGCAUCAGAGGAUGAGUAAAAUGUCGCAGGAGGUGAGAUCUGACCCUUCAGCCCCCCCACAUUAGAUAGGUCACUGGAUCUUUCUGGGCAUCUGUAAAAUGGGAAUAGUAGAGCCAGAGGUGGUCAUGGGUCUGGGCUUUGUGGAGGUGGGGGCAGAGAGGGAGAGGGCAGCCUGUCCAGCCUCCAGCCCCUCUCUCCAAGGCCCUUUCCCCUUGUGCUUUGGGCAGAUUUGCACAUUAAAGAAAGAGAAGCAGCAAGAUAUGCGUCGGGUAGAGGAGCUGGAGAGGAGCUUGUCCAAACUCAAAAACCAGAUGGGUAAGAUGGGGCUGGCAUGACCUGGGAGCAGGACUGGCAUCAGAGGGCUGUGAGGGUGGCUUAGAGUGCCCCAGGGAGGUGGGUGGAUGGAAGGGCUUUGAGGCAGAGGGAAAGAGAUCUGUGCCAGGAGACGGCGAGUCUUGUCAUCUCAAUGAGUCUCAGUGUCUCAGUGUCCCCAUCAGCAAAGAGGGCCCGUUGCCAGCCACCCACAGUGCUCUUUCUCUGAAAGUCCUUUGGAAGACUGGCUACCAUCUGGGUGCGAGGAAUCAUUAGCAGUGAGGCCAAGUUUGAGGAGCCUGAGAGGAGCUGUGCGCCAAGAGGAGGGUUUUUCUUUUCCGAGAAUCCAGAGGCCCUUAUUAUCUGCUUCCUUUGUCAGCUGAACCCUUGCCCCCGGAGCCCCCAGCA
rnacentral:lncRNA from 10 species